AAGGUAAUGGUCAAGAGGCAAAGGACAGCUUUUCCGCCAAAUUUCAUUCACUCCCUUGAUGGUUCACAUAUGAUGAUGACUGCAGUUGCAUGCAGAAGGGCUGGCUUAAACUUUGCAGGUGUUCAUGACUCGUAUUGGACGCAUGCGUGCGAUGUUGAUAAGUUGAACAGGAUAUUGAGAGAAAAGUUUGUAGAGCUUUAUGAAACGCCAAUUCUAGAGAAAUUGUUGGAGGGCUUCCAAGUUUCCUAUCCUACACUGUCAUUCCCCCCUUUGCCUGAACGUGGGGACUUUGAUUUGAGAGAUGUCAUAGAAUCUCCCUAUUUCUUCAAUUGAUUAGGUUCACGUGUACCUCACCCCUCUUUGAAGUACUAAG
rnacentral:misc_RNA from 1 species